ensembl:lncRNA
GAAUUCAGAGAACACACACACACACAUGGUCUCUUCUCCCAGCCCCAGCCACACCACCCCUCACACAGCUCCUGAACUACAAGAAGGCUUUUCACCAGCACUGCACCAAGAACUCUUCACGGGGAUGAUUCAAACCAAGGCUCCAUCAUUUCUGAAUCUGUGUGACUUUGGGUGCCCUCCAUAACCAUUCUGUGCCUUCAUUUCCUCAUCUAUAACCAGGAAUCCUAACUCAUGGGGAAUGUGAGGAUUAAAUGAGUCAACUCACCUUACAGUACCUGGCCCACAGCAGACACCCUGCUUGGUAAUGUUGGCCGUCAUCCUUCUCAGGACCACCCAACAAAGGCGUCCCUAGGGUAAACACGGCAGGACGCUUCUUCUUCCUCACCCAGGGACUUGCCACACUGCAGAGGGCUGCCCAGGCAGGACUGGAGAAGGUGGGCGGUCUGGUCCUUCAUGCAGUCGUGGUUGAGCCCGGAGUAGCGCCGUGAACUUCUGCUCCCCUUCCUACCCCGCCAGCUCUCCUGACAAAGCUCCAGUGUGGCUGCGCUCCACCUCCUCAUGGAGCCACAUUGGAAUCACCUGGAAGCUUGACCAUUUAUUUGAGCCAGGUUUCUUACCCACCCAGAUUCUGAUUUAACAAAUCAGAGUUCUGACCCAACAUCAGGAUUUUUUUUUUUUUUUAAUCUCUCCAGGUGAUUCUCAUGUGCAGCCAAGACUGAGAACCUCAUGAAGACAGAUAAGCAGGGCUACUCCCGAGGGUGAGUGCUCAGCUUUUAUUGGAAGCAGGCUUGGCCUGAGUGCAUCUGAAUUCAUCCUUCCUGGUGCCCAAACCAGCCCAGAGAAUUCCUGUGGCUGGAGUGACCCAUACAGACAAUGUUAUAGAAAGGAUGCCAGCAACUAACGGGGCACAGAACUACAGGAGUGGGCAGGCUGUAAGGGCUCCCUAACUGAGAAUGCCGUGUCUCCAUGCAACACCCUGGGUCUGCCUCUAAUGCCUGGAGUCUUUCCUGUUCCAAGAACCAGCAAGGCUGUGGUCAUGUGAAAAGCAUUCUUGGGGGUUGUGUGUGCACAGCCAACAUGACUGCACACAAGGGCCUCGACCAAAGGCAGUACACACAAUGUCUGGCAUCUCUCAGGACAGUGAUCCAAAACACGUGUUUGGCCAAGGCUCAGGAAGACCCCACACUAAUAGGCCCCACCACGCCAUCAGCCAGGAGGGAAGCCUGCCUGUCCCCGUCCUCACCGAAGGAUGGUCACCAACAGGAGAAGCUGCUCUAGAAGCACGGGAGGAAGACGCUCAGCCCAGAUCCACUCCAGAUCCCACAAAUAGGCUUGAGCAGGCUUGGGCAAAGCGUGGAUUAUGAACCUCCCAGGUGGACGGCAGCGAAGGUCUCCUGCCGAGGCCUCACUGGGAGCGCCACUUCACACCUCCCCUGUCACCUGCUGCCCAAAGGCCCUUUUCCCCCUCACAGGGGAAUAAAGCACUGCCAGCCUUUUAACCCCAGGUCUGCAUUAUCUCCCUAAUCCCCACAUCUCAGCAUUUCUCCGGUGCACCUCCUACAGGGCUGAGCAAGCCCACUUCACGCCCUCGACUGGCCGCCAGCAAGCACAGGCAAGCACCCACGGAGGCCUGAAAGCGUCUCCGUUUGUGUUUACAUAUUGGCUCAUUCCAAUCCACCAGGCAACCAACAUUUCCUGAGGGCCUACUGUGUGCCAGACUCUGAUGAGAGUACACAGCACUGUGAAAUACAAGAUUACUGCCUCAGCGGAUCAACAAGAUUUCAUCUCAUGAAAACACAGCCACACACGCUGUUAGGG